GGAACUAGUUAUGUGAUGGGAUGGACAUGUGCAGGACUAUAUACAUUGUCACAGAAAUUAAUGCUAUAUAGUUAUGGAACACUUAGCGAAAAGGUGAAAUGAGUGCAAUUUGACUGACAGCAUAUAUUGUUAUUAUAGAUGUAGUUAUUUAUUUUUAUUUAAAUGUGAAGACACUGCUGAUAUAGUCCUGACAGAGAAGUCUAUAUUAUUAUAGUACGAUAUAGUCCUGACAGAGAAGUCUAUAUUAUUAUAGUACGUACACACAGCUGAUAUAGUCCUGACAGAGAAGUCUAUAUUAUUAUAGUACGUACACACAGCUGAUAUAGUCCUGACAGAGAAGUCUAUAUUAUUAUAGUACGUACACACAGCUGAUAUAGUCCUGACAGAGAAGUCUAUAUUAUUAUAGUACGUACACACAGCUGAUAUAGUCCUGACAGAGAAGUCUAUAUUAUUAUAGUACGUACACACAGCUGAUAUAGUCCUGACAGAGAAGUCUAUAUUAUUAUAGUACGUACACACAGCUGAUAUAGUCCUGACAGAGAAGUCUAUAUAAUUAUAGUACGUACACACAGCUGAUAUAGUCCUGACAGAGAAGUCUAUAUUAUUAUAGUACGUACACACAGCUGAUAUAGUCCUGACAGAGAAGUCUAUAUUAUUAUAGUACGUACACACAGCUGAUAUAGUCCUGACAGAGAAGUCUAUAUUAUUAUAGUACGUACACACAGCUGAUAUAGUCCUGACAGAGAAGUCUAUAUUAUUAUAGUACGUACACACAGCUGAUAUAGUCCUGACAGAGAAGUCUAUAUUAUUAUAGUACGUACACACAGCUGAUAUAGUCCUGACAGAGAAGUCUAUAUUAUUAUAGUACGUACACACAGCUGAUAUAGUCCUGACAGAGAAGUCUAUAUUAUUAUAGUACGUACACACAGCUGAUAUAGUCCUGACAGAGAAGUCUAUAUUAUUAUAGUACGUACACACAGCUGAUAUAGUCCUGACAGAGAAGUCUAUAUUAUUAUAGUACGUACACACAGCUGAUAUAGUCCUGACAGAGAAGUCUAUAUUAUUAUAGUACGUACACACAGCUGAUAUAGUCCUGACAGUACAUACACACAGCUGAUAUAGUCCUGACAGAGAAGUCUAUAUUAUUAUAGUACGUACACACAGCUGAUAUAGUCCUGACAGAGAAGUCUAUAUUAUUAUAGUACGUACACACAGCUGAUAUAGUCCUGACAGUACAUACACACAGCUGAUAUAGUCCUGACAGAGAAGUCUAUAUUAUUAUAGUACGUACACACAGCUGAUAUAGUCCUGACAGAGAAGUCUAUAUUAUUAUAGUACGUACACACAGCUGAUAUUGUCCUGACAGAGAAGUCUAUAUUAUCAUAGUACGAUAUAGUCCUGACAGAGAAGUCUAUAUUAUUAUAGUACGUACACACAGCUGAUAUAGUCCUGACAGAGAAGUCUAUAUUAUUAUAGUACGUACACACAGCUGAUAUAGUCCUGACAGAGAAGUCUAUAUUAUUAUAGUACGUACACACAGCUGAUAUAGUCCUGACAGAGAAGUCUAUAUUAUUAUAGUACGUACACACAGCUGAUAUAGUCCUGACAGAGAAGUAUAUAUUAUUAUAGUACGUACACACAGCUGAUAUAGUCCUGACAGAGAAGUAUAUAUUAUUAUAGUACGUACACACAGCUGAUAUAGUCCUGACAGAGAAGUCUAUAUUAUUAUAGUACGUACACACAGCUGAUAUAGUCCUGACAGAGAAGUCUAUAUUAUUAUAGUACGUACACACAGCUGAUAUAGUCCUGACAGAGAAGUCUAUAUUAUUAUAGUACGUACACACAGCUGAUAUAGUCCUGACAGAGAAGUCUAUAUUAUUAUAGUACGUACACACAGCUGAUAUAGUCCUGACAGAGAAGUCUAUAUUAUUAUAGUACGUACACACAGCUGAUAUAGUCCUGACAGAGAAGUCUAUAUUAUUAUAGUACGAUAUAGUCCUGACAGAGAAGUCUAUAUUAUUAUAGUACGUACACACAGCUGAUAUAGUCCUGACAGAGAAGUCUAUAUUAUUAUAGUACGUACACACAGCUGAUAUAGUCCUGACAGAGAAGUCUAUAUUAUUAUAGUACGUACACACAGCUGAUAUAGUCCUGACAGAGAAGUCUAUAUUAUUAUAGUACGUACACACAGCUGAUAUAGUCCUGACAGAGAAAUAUAUAUUAUUAUAGUACGUACACACAGCUGAUAUAGUCCUGACAGAGAAGUAUAUAUUAUUAUUAUAAGUAUGUGGAAACUGCUGAUAUAGUCCUGACAGAGAAAUAUAUAUUAUUAUAGAACAUACACACUGCUGAUAUAGUCCUGACAGAAAAUUGAUGUUUCCAUUGUAAUCAUGAGUGCUUCUUGCAUAUCUAAUUCUAUAUUAUUAUUAUAGUUAUACUUUAUUACAGUAUUGAUGAGGUGUCACCUACAUGUGUUUCCAGAGAUAUUUAUACAGAGGUUGUAGAGUUUUAUAAAUAGCUUUGUGCCUAUACACUGUUCAGCAUUAUCUAUACCCUAUAUCCCAGGAUGUGUGUGAAGGUGUUUUUUAUGGUAAACAUUUUCAUUUUUUUGAAAAGUACUUGCAGUAAAGGGAAUAAAUAUUUUUGACAGAAAUGAAGCAUAAUUUUCUCUACUGUGCUUUUAUUUUCAGGUAUGUUUAUCAUGUGAUAUAACUCUUUAUCCUCGGAAAAAAAAAACCCAGUAAAAUUAACCCCCUCAAAAAUAGCAACAUUUGCAGUAUAUAUACAUCAGUCAUCAUAAUGAUAUCAAAUCAGUUAUAAUUGUAAUCAGAUGAAAUAUAAUGAAGUUUAUGAAAAUUAUUUUGUCCAUUGCAUUGUCAAAAUUCUUUUAGUUCUUGAAUUCUGAUGUUGGAAGCGGUGUUAACAAGAAUUAUAUCCCGAUGACUGUUGUAAUGUAAAAUAUUGUAUAUCGUAUUAUUCCACUUAAUUUUGUGAUACAGAUUGAAAUUAUUUAUCCGUCCAUACAGUAUAUAUUGUCAACAUACUGGUACUAAUUUUGGCACACUCAAAUUAUAGACCAUUACCCGGGGUAUUUACCAGAUUAACAGAUUUUUAUAGAACAAUAAUGAAUUAGUGGCUCCUUAUUAUUUACUAAAGAAAUAAAAGAAAGUGUGAUUAACAUAAUCAAAAUUUACUGUAAUUCUUCUACAUGAAGAGCGCUAAAAUAAGCAUACUGCUAAAUUUAGUAUGUUAACAGUAUAUAUACACUAUGAUGACGAAAUUGACUACAUGUUGUAAGGAACUACAAAAUUCCUCAUUUCCACAGUGUGUAUAAGCUGAAUGUAUUUUCAAAUGCAGGUGAAGGUAAAUUCCAUGUUUAUCUCUUCUAGAAAUUUCAUAUCAGUUGAACAUGACUAUAGAAUUUUGCCAAAUAAUUCUUAUUGGUCUGAUAGGUAACAAAAAAUUGAAGUUGAAAACUGUACCAAACUUAAAAUAUAUGAUAAAUGUGUAAUUUGUCACGAAAAAAAAAUAUAAAUGUUUAAGUAUUUGAAAGUAUUAAAUAAAUGUUAAUUCAAUUGUAAUUUUUUCUCAAGAAGAAUCAUGUAUUAGAUACAGUUAUCAGAAUUUGUUUAUUUAUACCAGGGCGACUUAAUUGGUAAAAUGUAAUUACCUCCCCUGUUAAUAUUGGACCAAUCUUAAUGAAUAUACAGAUUAUAUGUGUAUUGUCAAUGUCCACUCGACAGGAUAGGCUAUCUAUAUCCUUAAGCAGACAGGAACACUUUGAACAUUAGCCUGAUAGCUUCAUAUAUUUUCCGGCCAGCUUGGUUUUAAGGUUCCAGCACUUGCAUAGUGUCUUAAAACACAGAUAAUAAUUUAUGUAAUAUUAAUGUAUUGGUGUAAAAUUAUUGCUGGUUCCAUUGAUGUACCAGUUAAUGUAAUGUAGUGUAAUAUAAUGUAAUGUAAGUUUUCAUGUUUUACAAAUAUUUUUUGUAUGUUGUACACAUCGUUGUAUUGGUAACUAUGGUGUACAGCUAUGUUGUGAAACAUACAUCAUCCAUGCUAUUCAUGAAUAUUUGGUCUCUACAUAAGAGCUAGGAAUUGUACAUCACACAGAAUGGCCAAAUCUAAGUGUUUUGUUUUAAACUGAAACAAUACUCUUCCUAAUACGUUGUAUUUUUUCAUAUAGUCCUUAUAAUUACUGUUACUGGUAUAAGAUUUGGUUAUGUAUAUACAUAACACUGGUAUAAUGACUAAUUAUAAUUGAAUAUCCGUCCAGAGUUGUGAUUACAUAGGAAUUAAAUCAGUAACACUCACAUAAUGAUACAAUGCCAAAAUGUUUGAAAUAACAUACAUGGUAUAAUAUAUAGAAUUGUUUGUAUGUAUACUGGGACCAGGUGCCUUUUGUAGUAAUUGUGAUCAUUGAAAGGAUUCGCUUACAGAUGUUAUGGUACAGAAAUAAAACAUAUAACUCGA